rnacentral:rRNA from 1 species
GAUUAACGCUGGCGGCGUGCAUAACACAUGCAAGUCGAACGAUGAAACUUUACUGACUUCUUCGGAAUGAUUUAAAGCGGAUUAGUGGCGAACGGGCGAGUAACGCGUGAGUAACCUGCCUUACACAAGGGGAUAGCCUCUGGAAACGGAGAAUAAUACCCUAUGAAACCAGACAAUCGCAUGAUAAUCUGGUCAAAAUGUUUAGUGGUGUAAGAUGGACUUGCGUCUGAUUAGCUAGUUGGUGAGAUAAAAGCUCACCAAGGCAACGAUCAGUAGCCGGCUUGAGAGAGUGUACGGCCACAUUGGGACUGAGACACGGCCCAGACUCCUACGGGAGGCAGCAGUGGGGAAUUUUGCACAAUGGGGGAAACCCUGAUGCAGCGACGCCGCGUGAUUUAGAAGGCCUUCGGGUUGUAAAAAUCUUUUGUAUAGGAAGAAAAUGACAGUACUAUACGAAUAAGGUCCGGCUAAUUACGUG